UGUGUGCAAUUAAUUAAAAGGUACAACAGAAAAGCAGGCUCCGGACCUCAUAGGGUAAGAGUUGAAUACCCCUGCACUAUGGGUCAUCAUCAGCUAGGUCAGGGCUUAAACUUCUGGUUUUUACCCUCUCCUAAUCAGGGACUGAUUCAGACCUGGGACACCAGGUGAGUGCAAUUAACUACCAGGUAGAAACAAAACACAGAAGGGUUUUGGCCCUCCAGGACCAGAAUUGAACCAUUUCAUCUAAGUCUGUCAUCCAUAGGUGCUUUGAUCCCUGUGGUGUGUGGCUCUCAAAGGGAAUGACUAAGUCUGUAAUAACUGCUUUAAGCUCUCCCUGACUCAAUGAGUGACUGAUACAGGCACUGAGAGAGAUUGACAGAAAUCAGAGGGACUCUAUCUGAAUCUAAUCAUGAUGCCUGUCAAGCAGAGCAGCCACAGGGUCUCUGGAUGGGGUGGGGCUAAAGCAGGAAGUGAGCCUUAGCCUGGUGCUGUGGGAAUGUGUUUUCCUGCGACUGAGUGAUUCUCACUGUUCCACAGCUUCUGUACUUUUGACAAAGUUUCUCAUGUGAGUUGAAUUUUACAAUGACAACCAAUAAACCAAGUAUUGAGCUAUG